GGAAGCACCGGCUAACCCCGUGCCAGCAGCCGCGGUAAUACGGGGGGUGCAAGCGUUGUUCGGAUUUAUUGGGCGUAAAGCGCGUGUAGGCGGUUUUAUAAGUCUGAUGUGAAAGCCCUGGGCUCAACCCGGGAAGUGCAUUGGAUACUGUAAGACUUGAAUACGGGAGAGGGCAGUGGAAUUCCUAGUGUAGGAGUGAAAUCCGUAGAUAUUAGGAGGAACACCGGUGGCGAAGGCGGCUGCCUGGACCGAUAUUGACGCUGAGACGCGAAAGCGUGGGUAGCAAACAGGAUUAGAUACCCUGGUAGUCCACGCCGUAAACGAUGAGAACUAGGUGUCGCGGGUAAAGGGKKMMYUMWRMARAUAUCCAUCACACUGGCRRSSGGSUCGAGCRUGCAUCUAGAGUCCUCAAUCACUAGUUU
rnacentral:rRNA from 1 species